GCGGCUGUCUGGGCUGCAGCAGGUAGACCCCCAGAGGGGCAGCACAUCUGAGCCAGGCUGGCCCCGAGCAGCAUGGAAAGGAGCCAUCCUUGAAGCAGGAUUGCCUUUGAGCUGGCAGCAGACGAGUGAUUGGCAUUGGGCAGUGCUGCUGAGACUCUGGCAGGCCGUUUAGCAGAGAACCUUGGCUAAUGAAUGUCAUCCACACCUAGCAGAUGUGCCACUGCCUGCCAUGCCAGAUUUUUGACAUAAUACAGGGCUGCUGGACACGACAGUGCUCGGGAAAAGCCAGGGAGGGACUUGUGCCUUCAACGUGGCGUUUGGUCCUUCUCGUGCUCUGCAAGAGAAACGAAACCUGCAGAAGGGAGGGAGGCACAGCUGCGUCUCCCGGCCCUCCACCCUGGUUUUAUCGAUACAGAUAUACAAGGCAAACCAAAGGUUUCGGCUGCUAUUCAGUGCCUCCUCAUUUGUCCCAGAGCCGUAACAGUGGUGCCCUUUCUCUUCUGGCUGCUUUUCCCUGCUUCUGGAGCAGCAGUUAUGGGAGAAGCAGAUGGCUACUGAUUGGGGACUGUCACUCGCUGCAGAGGCCAAGGCCUCCAGAGCCCCCGGGCAGCACCAGGAGGGGAGAAGCCAUCCCUGCAGGAGGAUUAUCCAUCUGAGGGAACAUGCUGGGCACUCAGCUCCUGCAGUGCGUAACUCAGCGGCCACCCAGGGUCCGGCGGGGAGCUGUGAGUGACAUCCUCACGGACCGACAGCAGAGAACUCCUGUGGCCACCAAAAAGACGUGCAGCCCACCACUCUGAGCGCAGGUGUCCUGAGGAGAUGGAGCCCAGCACUGCCCCACCCCACGCCGGUCCCAGCAUGGGACGUGCUGGUGGCACACAGGGACAGAACGGCCCAAGGGCGUACAGGAGGCGGAGGCAGAUUUCA